rnacentral:rRNA from 1 species
AUUGAACGCUGGCGGCAUGCCUUACACAUGCAAGUCGAACGGCAGCACGGGAGCAAUCCUGGUGGCGAGUGGCGAACGGGUGAGUAAUACAUCGGAACGUGCCCAAUCGUGGGGGAUAACGCAGCGAAAGCUGUGUUAAUACCGCAUACGAUCUACGGACGAAAGCAGGGGAUCGCAAGACCUUGCGCGAAUGGAGCGGC